UGAGUCGGUUAAGUGAUCGCGCUCUGCUCCGUGAAGCACUGACACACACACCGAAAUCAUAUGGAGCAGAGUGAGGAAAGUCCGGACUCCACAGGAUACGAUGCCGGGUAACACCCGGGCGAGGCGACUCGUGGACAGGGCCACAGAAACAAACCGCGGCUUCAACCUUUGGUUGAAACGUAAGGGUGAAAAGGUGGUGUAAGAGACCACCGGCACUUCGGGUAACCGGAGUGGCCAGGCAACCCCCAUCGGGAGCAAGGCCAAGCAGGGAGGAAGGUGUGCCGGGCACAGUUCGGCGUACCGGGGAGCGAUCCGUUCCCUCUUUCCCAAAAGCAACUUCCGGGUAGGUCGCACGAGGUAUCAGGUAACUGUUAUCCUAGAUAGAUGAUCACCAAGCCUGUAAGGAGACUUACAGGCGUACAAAAUCCGGCUUACCGACUAACUCAGACU
rnacentral:RNase_P_RNA from 1 species